GACGAACGCUGGCGGCGUGCUUAACACAUGCAAGUCGAACGGAAAGGCCCUGCUUUUGUGGGGUGCUCGAGUGGCGAACGGGUGAGUAUCACGUGAGUAACAUGCCCUUGACUUUGGGAUAACUCCAGGAAACUGGGGCUCAUACCGGAUAGGAGCUCCUGCUGCAUGGUGGGGGUUGGAAAGUUUCGGCGGUUGGGGAUGGACGCGCGGCUUAUCAGUUUGUUGGUGGGGUAGUGGCUUACCAAUGCUUUGACGGGUAGCCGGCCUGGGAGGGUGACCGGCCACAUUGGGACUGGGAUACGGCCCAGACUCCUACGGGAGGCAGCAGUGGAGAAUAUUGCACAAUGGGCGGAAGCCGGAUGCAGCAACGCCGCGUGCGGGAUGACGGCCGUCGGGUUGUAAACCGCUUUCGCCUGUGACGAAGCGUGAGUGACGGUAAUGGGUAAAGAAGCACCGGCUAACUACGUG
rnacentral:rRNA from 1 species